GAUCCUGGCUCAGGAUGAACGCUAGCUACAGGCUUAACACAUGCAAGUCGAGGGGCAGCAUGAACUUAGCUUGCUAAGUUUGAUGGCGACCGGCGCACGGGUGAGUAACACGUAUCCAACCUGCCUACCACUUGGGGAUAACCUUGCGAAAGUAAGACUAAUACCCAAUGACAUCCCACGGAGACAUCUGAAUGGGAUUAAAGAUUUAUCGGUGAUGGAUGGGGAUGCGU
rnacentral:rRNA from 1 species